GGAGUCGGCCAGGCAGUCGCGGCGCAUUAUUGUGCCGAGGAAAGUCCGGGCUCCGCAGGGCAGGGUGCCAGGUAACGCCUGGGAGGCGUGAGCCUACGGAAAGUGCCACAGAAAAAAUACCGCCUAAGCAUCUUCGGAUGCCGGUAAGGGUGAAAAGGUGCGGUAAGAGCGCACCGCGCGGGUGGCAACAUGCCGCGGCACGGUAAACCCCACCCGGAGCAAGACCAAAUAGGGGGGCAGGCGGCCUUGUGCCGCAGCGCGCGGCCCGCGCGUGUCCCCGGGUAGGUUGCUUGAGGCGCAUGGCGACAUGCGACCCAGAUGAAUGGCUGCCCACGACAGAACCCGGCUUAACGGCCGGCUCCCACU
rnacentral:RNase_P_RNA from 1 species